rnacentral:rRNA from 1 species
UGGAUUGAGAACAACGUACAAACCUUAUCGAUAAACAAUUGGAGGGCAAGUCUGGUGCCAGCAGCCGCGGUAAUUCCAGCUCCAAUAGCGUAUAUUAACGUUGUUGCAGUUAAAAAGCUCGUAGUUGAAAUGAAGGGUAGUUGUGUAAUGAAUACAUUCGUGUAUUUUGUUAUUCAACUACCCUCCUUCUAAAUUCGAUAUAUGAGUAUUAAUUUACUUGUAUAUGGUUUUAGACUUUUACUGUGAGAAAAUUAGAGUGUUCAAAGCAGGCAUUUGCUUGAAUAUAUUAGCAUGGAAUAAUCAUGUAUGAUUUUCAUGAUGUAUUUGAUUGGUUUGGUUCAUGAGAAUAAGAUUAAAAGGGACAGUUGGGGGUAUUCAUAUUCAAUAGUCAGAGGUGAAAUUCUCGGAUUUAUGGAAGAUGAACAAGUGCGAAAGCAUUUACCAAGGAUGUUUUCAUUAAUCAAGAACGAAAGUUAGGGGAUCGAAGAGGAUUAGAUACC